UCCCUGGCGGCCCAGUGGUUAAGACUCUGUACUCCUGAUGCAGGGGACCCGGGUUCGAUUCCUGGUCAGGGAA